GCUUGCUCUUAUGAAGUUAGCGGCGGACGGGUGAGUAACACGUGGGUAACCUGCCCAUAAGACUGGGAUAACUCCGGGAAACCGGGGCUAAUACCGGAUAACAUUUUGAACUGCAUGGUUCGAAAUUGAAAGGCGGCUUCGGCUGUCACUUAUGGAUGGACCCGCGUCGCAUUAGCUAGUUGGUGAGGUAACGGCUCACCAAGGCAACGAUGCGUAGCCGACCUGAGAGGGUGAUCGGCCACACUGGGACUGAGACACGGCCCAGACUCCUACGGGAGGCAGCAGUAGGGAAUCUUCCGCAAUGGACGAAAGUCUGACGGAGCAACGCCGCGUGAGUGAUGAAGGCUUUCGGGUCGUAAAACUCUGUUGUUAGGGAAGAACAAGUGCUAGUUGAAUAAGCUGGCACCUUGACGGUACCUAACCAGAAAGCCACGGCUAACUACGUGCCAGCAGCCGCGGUAAUACGUAGGUGGCAAGCGUUAUCCGGAAUUAUUGGGCGUAAAGCGCGCGCAGGUGGUUUCUUAAGUCUGAUGUGAAAGCCCACGGCUCAACCGUGGAGGGUCAUUGGAAACUGGGAGACUUGAGUGCAGAAGAGGAAAGUGGAAUUCCAUGUGUAGCGG
rnacentral:rRNA from 2 species